GCGGCAGUAUCUCAGAGGCAGAGCUCCCGCUUCCUAUGCGGGAUGACCUGGGCUCGAUUCCCGGCUGAUACC
rfam:Toxocara canis scaffold405, whole genome shotgun sequence.